rnacentral:lncRNA from 1 species
UGUAGUUUAUUUGUGUAUAUGGUAUAAAGUGAGGGUCUGUAUUAGUCUGCUAGGUCUUUCAUAACAAUACUGCUAACUGAGUAGCUUAAACAAUAGAAAUUUAUUUUCUCACAGUUCUGAUAGGUGUUAAGUCCAAGAUUAAAUGCUAGCAGUGUUGGUUUCUAGUGAGGCCUCCCUUUCUCCUUGACUUAUAGAUGGCCACCACCUAGCUCUGUCCUCACAUGAUCUUUGCUAUGUGCACGUGCAUGCCUGGUGUCUCCUCCUCUUUAUAGAGGACACCAGUCCUGUUGGAUUUGGGUCCUGCCCUUGUGAUCCUUACUUAACCUUAAUUACCUCCUUAAAGGCUCUGUCUGCAAAUACAUUCACACUGGGGGUUAAGGCUUUAACCUAUGAAUUUGAGGGGGGACAUAGUUAAUCCAUAACAGAGUCUAACUUUAUUGUUUUUCAUGUGAAUAUCCAG